CCUACGGGAGGCAGCAGUGAGGAAUAUUGGUCAAUGGACGAGAGUCUGAACCAGCCAAGUCGCGUGAAGGAUGACGGCCCUCUGGGUUGUAAACUUCUUUUAUAUGGGAAUAAAAGGUGCCACGUGUUGGCGUUUGUAUGUACCAUAAUAAUAAGGAUCGGCUAACUCCGUGCCAGCAGCCGCGGUAAUACGGAGGAUCCGAGCGUUAUCCGGAUUUAUUGGGUUGAAAGGGAGCGUAGGCGGAUGGUUAAGUCAGUUGUGAAAGUUAGCGGCUCAACCUCAAAACUGCAGUUGAAACUGGCAGUCUUGAGUACAGUAGAGGUAGGCGGAAUUCGUGGUGUAGCGGUGAAAUGCUUAGAUAUCACGCAGAACACCGAUUGCGAAGGCAGUUCACUGGACUGCAACUGACACUGAGGCUCGAAAGUGUGGGUAUCAAACAGGAUUAGAUACCCCUGUAGUC
rnacentral:rRNA from 1 species